GCCCACUCUACUCUAGUAUGACCUCAUCUUAACUUGAUUAUGUGGGCAAAGACCCUAUUUCCAAAUAAGGCUACAUUCACAGGCAGCAGCAAUUAAGAUCUCAACAUAUCUUCUAGGAGGACACAACCCAACCCAAUACAGAAGCGUAGUAAGUGUUACUACACAGAGGAACUAACGUGGAAAUAUGCCAGUGGAAAGAAGGGGGGAUCUAAGUUAGCUGCCCCACAUCUGUCACAGCGGAAAGCCAAGAGACAAAGACUGCAGUUGGUAAAGCGAGAAGCGAUGGUAGAAACUCACUCUUGCAUGAAGGUAUUCGAAGUGGUUCUUUUAUGAAGCCAGUCUAAGCACUUCAGUAAUAAAAAGAGGAAGAACAAACAGUCCCAACCCUGCGAAGAUGCUGUAUGGAGGUCAGGCUGCCCAACAGGCUGGAAGAGGCACAGCACGAAUGCUGCAGAGGCCUGCGGUCCUAAAUGCCACAAUGACUAUUAAACAGUGUCCUGCCCAUGAGCAAACAGGAGGGAGGAGAGAUUGAUCGUGCAUCUUUUUCAUCUAAGCUGCUCACCAAAAACAAAGCAUCUGUUGAAGCCACUGACCUUUCACUAACUGCUGGAAGGAAAAUGCUUGAUAAAUAAUAAAUAGACCACUAUUGGAUGUUGCUUAGAACCAUCUUUUAAUUAAAAGAACUGAGCAACCAGAAGGUCAGGUGACUGACAUUUAAGUUCCAGUCCAGGAAGAGCAUCAAUCGAGGGGAAAAUUGUACCCUAAAUGUAAUUUCAUUGUUAGCUCGCAUUCAACAGAAGUCCCCUCUCUGUAAUCUGUUCAGAUGGGGGGCGGUGCUGGUGACGCUUGGUAGGGGACAAAACACUUCACUUCCUGCCUCCUUCGCCUUCCCCUGGCAACCUUUUCGUUUCUGUGCUGCAGCAAUAACCACUUGUCUGGUUCAG
rnacentral:lncRNA from 1 species